rnacentral:rRNA from 1 species
AACGAACGCUGGCGGCAUGCCUAACACAUGCAAGUCGAACGAAACCUCCGGGACUAGUGGCCCAUGAGUGCGUCACGCGUGGGAACCUUCACUUAGGGUUGGAAUAACUCUCCGACAGGGGUGCUAACGCCGGAUAAUGUCUUCUGACCAAAGAUUUAUCGAGUUUGGAUGUGCCCGCGUUGGAUUCGCUGGUUGGUAGGGUAAAAGCCUACCACGGCGACGAUCCAUAGCUGGUUAGAGAGGAUGAUCAGCGACACUGGGACGGGGACGCGGCCCGGAAUCCUACGGGAGGGAGCAGUGGGGGAUAGUGGACAAUGGGGGAAAGGAUGAUGCAGCAAUGCCGCGUGAGUGAUGAAGGUCUGAGGGUUGUAAAGCGCUUUUAACCGGGAUGAUAAUGACAGUACCGGGAGAAUAAGCCCCGGCUAACUCCGUG